GCCCUGUGACGCAAUGGAUAACGCGUUGAACUUCUAAUUCAAAGGUAGUGGGUUCAAAUCCCACGUGAGAUG